GAUGAACGCUGGCGGCGUGCCUAAUACAUGCAAGUCGAGCGAACGGACGAGAAGCUUGCUUCUCUGAUGUUAGCGGCGGACGGGUGAGUAACACGUGGAUAACCUACCUAUAAGACUGGGAUAACUUCGGGAAACCGGAGCUAAUACCGGAUAAUAUUUUGAACCGCAUGGUUCAAAAGUGAAAGACGGUCUUGCUGUCACUUAUAGAUGGAUCCGCGCUGCAUUAGCUAGUUGGUAAGGUAACGGCUUACCAAGGCAACGAUGCAUAGCCGACCUGAGAGGGUGGACCGCCACACUGGAACUGAGACACGGUCCAGACUCCUACGGGAGGCAGCAGUAGGGAAUCUUCCGCAAUGGGCGAAAGCCUGACGGAGCAACGCCGCGUGAGUGAUGAAGGUCUUCGGAUCGUAAAACUCUGUUAUUAGGGAAGAACAUAUGUGUAAGUAACUGUGCACAUCUUAACGGUACCUAAUCAGAAAGCCACGGCUAACUACGUG
rnacentral:rRNA from 1 species